rnacentral:rRNA from 1 species
UACGGAGAGUGCAAGCAUUAAUCGGAAUUAUUGGGCGUAAAGGGCGCGUAGGCGGGAGAGAAAGUCAGAUGUGAAAUUCCGAAGCUCAACUUCGGAGCUGCAUUUGAAACUACUCACCUAGAGGGUUGACGGAGAAAACGGAAUUCCACGUGUAGCGGUGAAAUGCGUAGAUAUGUGGAAGAACACCUGUGGCGAAAGCGGUUUUCUAGUUUAUACCUGACGCUGAGGCGCGAGAGCAAGGGGAGCAAACAGG